AGUGAACGCUGGCGGUAGGCCUAACACAUGCGAGUCGAACGGCAGCACAGUAAGAGCUUGCUCUUACGGGUGGCGAGUGGCGGACGGGUGAGGAAUACAUCGGAAUCUACUUUUUCGUGGGGGAUAACGUAGGGAAACUUACGCUAAUACCGCAUACGACCUACGGGUGAAAGCAGGGGAUCUUCGGACCUUGCGCGAUUGAAUGAGCCGAUGUCGGAUUAGCUAGUUGGCGGGGUAAAGGCCCACCAAGGCGACGAUCCGUAGCUGGUCUGAGAGGAUGAUCAGCCACACUGGAACUGAGACACGGUCCAGACUCCUACGGGAGGCAGCAGUGGGGGAUAUUGGACAAUGGGCGCAAGCCUGAUCCAGCCAUACCGCGUGGGUGAAGAAGGCCUUCGGGUUGUAAAGCCCUUUUGUUGGGAAAGAAAAGCAGCAGGUUAAUACCCCGCUGUUCUGACGGUACCCAAAGAAUAAGCACCGGCUAACUUCGUG
rnacentral:rRNA from 1 species